UGCCUCUCAUUUACCAAUCCCAGUUUAAUGCCGAGUAUGGAGGGAUAAAGAGCACAAGCAGUCAGCCUCUGACUCAUGCCAAGUCAGGUAGUCAAGAUCAAGCCUAACAAGGAUUUGGUCCUUCAAAUGCUUUAGCUCUUCCAGGUACUUUGAACUGUUUUUCUCCGAGCUUCGUUGAGUUUGACAUGAAAAUCAUUAGAAAGAUGAAUCAAUAGAUAAACUAUAGUUAAAGAAAUCGAAAGGUAAUUCCAAACAAAAUGGACCAUAUUUAAGAAACACUUGUGCGUAUGGUAGUUUAGCUUCUUUUUCCUAUAGUUUUGGGGUAUUCAAUAUCUCUCUCUUUCAAAACUCAACUUAACUGCUUCUUUUUGGAGUAUCCUAUUCGAUCUCUUCAUUACUGUAUUUCAUAUGAGGACAGCCUCAACUAAGAGGUCCCGAUACACAUGCUGCCUAUCCUUCCAACCACAUUCAAGAAACAAUUGUGCAUAUGGUAGUUUAGCUUCUUUUUCCAGCAGUUGCAGGGUCUUCAAAAUUUCUCUCUCUUUUAAAACUCAACUUAGCUUCUUUUUCUUCUUGGAGUAUCCUAUUCGUUCUCUUCAUUACUGUUUUUCAUGUCAGGACACGCUCCACUAAGAGGUCCCGAUACAUAUGCUGCCUAUCCGUCCAACUUCAGCUUGUAAAAUGCUUGCUAUUAGCUUUCAAAGCCAAUCUUUGAAUUAGCUUCUCUAUGUGCUGUUAUUCUGGAUGUUUAGUUUGGUCCAUAGGAAAUAAUCUGCUUGGUUGUCAUAUAUAGUUUCUGCUAUGCCCAAAUCUAGAACUUCUAUUGACCCAAAGUAAUUUGAGAUAUAUUCCAUUAAAAACAUGCCCAGUACGUAAACUGAACGUACUCGAUAGCAGAAGAAGGUUCGUCAUUUUGCUCGUAUAGUGCAACAAGACCUUCAAUUACAUAAACCAAACACAUAAGAUAGUUAAAGAAAUUCAGAAAAGCAAAAUUGCUAAACUUGAAGAGGGAAAAAAAUUAAUAAGCG